rnacentral:lncRNA from 1 species
GUAGGUCAUCCUACUUUGUUUCCCUUUAAUCCUUUAAGUGAAAAAGAAGCUUACUUAAAUUUGUAGUGUUUAAGUAAAAUAAGCCUGUAUUUAGAAGAUAGUAUCUUUAUAGAUAAAUAUUAGAAAAUCUAGAUAGUAGAUUGUUCCAAAAAAUGCUUUGUGGCAAGAGAGUUGAUGGCACAAAUGGCAAUAGAGUGUCUUCAUAUCUACUGAGUUCAAGAUAGCCUGUUUUAGAAAGAUGUUUUUCUCUUGACUCAAACUUAAAACAAAUAAAUUAUGAAAAUAAAUUAUGAAAAUUGCCGGGUGUGGUGGCACACGCCUUUAAUCCCAGCACUCGGUAGGCAGAGGCAGGUGGAUUUCUGAGUUUGAGGCCAGCCUGGUCUACAAAGUGAGUUCCAGGACAGCCAGGGCUAUACAGAGAAACCCUGUCUCGAAAAACCAUAAAAGGAAAGAAAGAAAGAAAGAAAGAAAGAGAGAGAGAGAGAGAGAGAGAGAGAGAGAGAGAGAGAGAGAGAGAGAGAGAGAGAGAGGGGGGAAAAAGGAGAAAAAAGAAAAG